UCUCGCUCCCAGACUGGAGGGCAGUGUGGAAAUGUGACAGUUUUGGCUUUGUGCUCCCCUGAGCAAUAGCCCAGGUGUUCAGAGAAAGUGUGGGAAAACCCAUAUUUCUGCAUUGUCAUUCGAACACAGAAAACACAGGAGGAAAAUGAGCUGUCACUCCAAUUCCCAUGAUGCCUUGCUGCUUAGCAUAACUCUACAGUGCGGCCCUGGGUCCACUGGUCCAUAUUCUGACAGAUAAUUAAGAAAGCAGCAGCUUUUUCUAGACGGCUCUUCCUCAUGAUUUGCAUUUUAGCCAGAGGCGACCAGUUAUAAAAAAAACAUGAUGGAAAGAUGGUAAGAAGCCAAUUAGAUGGAUGGAUGGCUGACUGACAGCUCUCUGGUAUUACGACUCCAGAUUUCAGACUACAUAGCCUGGCAGUUUUCUACAAGAACCAACUUUUUUGCAGGAAGGUCAUACAUAUGCUAUUGGAGAGUUCACAGCUAGCCCCUCACUACUCAAAUUGUGGGUGUUAUUGCCAGACUGCGGAGAUGCACAAGAAUUGACUUGAGAAGCAAGGAGAUUAUUCAUGCUCCUGCACACUCUGUUAUCUCUGGGAGCUCUUAAUCAAUGCAGGGUGAGAGCCAGUUAGCAUGACUGAGGUUAGGGUAAACGGGCUGUUCAGGGAAAGAUAAAUUAAAAUGUGAUUAUUAUUCAAAUUGGAAUAUAGAGAACAUAAUCCAUGAUGGAAGAGAAGGAGAAUAAUAGAAAUAAAUAAAAAUUUACCUACUGAAUCACUUGCUCUAUUGAAUCUAGUCCUUGAAAUUCCAAAGACAUUAUAAUAUGCUAUGACUAAAGGGAAUGAUUUGGGAGAUUUAUACUCUAUCUUUAUUGGCUCCUGCAGAUAUGCUGAAAUACAAAUUCUCACAUGCUGGAAAUGUCUACUAAAUGUACCUUGAUAUACAAAUUAAAUUCUCCUAUAGAAAACUGUACUGUACUCAAAAACCUAUAUACAAAUAAAAAGACUAAAUUCUAAAUAAC
rnacentral:lncRNA from 10 species